AUGAGAUUGAAGCUGCAGGGAAGCAUGAGAGCCCUUCAAUUGCUGAGGAGGCCGUCCUGCGAGAAGUCGGUCAACGCAUGUCAGUGGAACUGUAAGAUCAAUACGAUCAACAGGAGGCCGCCUGAGUUGCAGGUAUUCUUCCGUAAAUGUAUGUUGUGCCGGAUCAAGACAGCCUUGCUGUUGUUUUUUUUCGAGAGUACGCAAAUUGUGUACCAUAGCUUUAUAGAAGGAGAGAAAAUUAGUACAUGGCAUCUAUCACUCGCUGCGAACAACGAGCAUAGCACGACACCACAUCCGGAUAUCUUCAGGACAACCACACACAACAACACAACUACAACACGGAAAACCUGCCCAAAACCGAAACACCUCGCCGCGUCUUGA
rnacentral:rRNA from 1 species